rnacentral:rRNA from 1 species
GACGGAGGGGGCUAGCGUUGUUCGGAAUUACUGGGCGUAAAGCGCACGUAGGCGGCUUUGUAAGUUAGAGGUGAAGCCCGGGGCUCAACUCCGGAAUUGCCUUUAAGACUGCAUCGCUUGAAUUGUGGAGAGGUAAGUGGAAUUCCGAGUGUAGAGGUGAAAUUCGUAGAUAUUCGGAAGAACACCAGUGGCGAAGGCGACUUACUGGACACAUAUUGACGCUGAGGUGCGAAAGCGUGGGGAGCAACAGG